UAAUUAAAUCAAUAUUUAUUUAAUGAAUUCAAAGAAUAUAUUGUUAUGUUUUCAUUCUUUUCAUGUUUAUGGCCUACGUGCAUAAGAUGUACUGGUUCGCCGAGUACCCAUUCUUGUUUGAAAAAGAAAUACAUAUAUAUUCUUUGCACGUAGAAAAGAACAUAUAUAUAGCGUAUACACUUGGGCCAUGCUACGUCAGAAAUACCUCUUUUAUAUUAUAAUAUUGUGUUGCUUGCACAAUAAACCGCCAGCAAAUUGAUAUGAGAACAAGAAAAACGGACGAUCCUUUCAAAAUCCUGAUUAG
rnacentral:lncRNA from 1 species